AUGUCUUUUGGGAGAGAUGCUAAAUUUGAUUCUGAUUUUUAAUGUAACAUAAUAAAAAAGAUAAAGAUAUAUUUCAGUUUUUAAAAACAUCGUAAGUUAGGGUACACUAUGUUUUCUCUGAUUUCAAACACCAUUUAAAAAUGUGAAGGCUCAGAUGUUACAUUCCUACUAAUAUUCAUUCAUUAUUAAACCGUUAUUUUCUAGAUCCUAAUUGUUCUAGAUUACAGCAAUGAAAAUAAAAGCAAAACACAUUUCUUGCUGUGGUAGGCAGCCUCUAAAAUGGUCCCCAGUGAUCUCUGCCUUUUGGUACUCACAUCCUUGUAUAAUACCCUCCCCUAAGUGUUUGCUGAACCUAAUGAUCCAUUUCGAAUGAAUAUAAUACAGGAAAAGUAAUGUUAUGCCAUUCCAAGAUUAGAUUAUGAAAAGACUGCCUUUUUCAAGCUUUCUCCUGCUCUCUUUCUCUCCAGGAGUCCUCACUCUGAAGAAAACUCUGCCAUGUCGUGAGCGGCCUAUGGAGAGGCCAUGUGUCAAGCAACUGACAUCUCCGAUCAGCACCCAGUGGGAACCUGGAGGCAUUUUUCCACUGUGAACACCAAACCAGGUAGGGACCGAAUGCAAAGGAGACUCCAAGUCUGUCUGGAUUUUGUUUUCUGAAAGCUGAAGUCUAGAAGAAUUUGAAGAAAUGAUGGAAGAAUUAAAAAAAAAAAAAAAAAAAAAAAGUGGUUCAAGCCUAUACACAAAAUGUGUUGAACACAUUAUACUGGAGGGGGGCAUUUCCCUUCCACACUGGAAACAUUUCCCCACGCUUUAGAAGUUUGGGGAAGGAGCUGAGGAAGAAAUUUCAAGGUACUGAGAUUUGCAACAAUCUACUCUCUGUGUCAAUUAGCAUUGCUGGAGGGUUUGCAAGAUCCAAGGGUAGAAUGACUUGCAGGCUGCCUUGGCAGGAAGGAUCAAGAACAGCGUCGGCCGGGCUUGGUGGCUCACGCCUGUAAUCCCAGCACUUUGGGAGGCCGAGGGGUGCGGAGCACGAGGUCAGGAGAUCGAGACCAUCCUGGCUAACAUGGUGAAACCGCAUCUCUACUAAAAAUACAAAAAUUAACCGGGCGUGGUGUCGGGCGCCUGUAGUCCCAGCUACUCGGGAGGCUGAGGCAGGAGAAUGGCGGGAACCCGGGAGGCGGAGCUUGCAGUGAGCUGAGAUCCGGCCACUGCCCUCCAGCCAAAAAAACACCUUGUUUAAAUAAACUUUAAAAACAGAAAGUAACAUUAAAAAAAAAAGAUGAAAUGAUUCAUUUUUAAAGAACCCUCAGGCCGGGCGCGGUGGCUCAAGCCUGUAAUCCCAGCACUUUGGGAGGCCGAGACGGGCGGAUCACGAGGUCAGGAGAUCGAGACCAUCCUGGCUAACAUGGUGAAACCCCGUCUUUAUUAAGAAAUACAAAAAACUAGCCGGGCGAGGUGGUGGGCGCCUGUAGUCCCAGCUACUCGGGAGGCUGAGGCAGGAGAAUGGCGGGAACCCGGGAGGCGGAGCUUGCAGUGAGCUGAGAUCCGGCCACUGCACUCCAGCCUGGGCGACACAGCGAGACUCCGUCUCAAAAAAAAAAAAAAAAAAAAAAGCAGCAUUAACAAAGUUUCCUCUGGCCGCUAAACAUGGCUUAGAAGCAGCAGAACUAUCAGAUCUGGCUGGGCCAUGCAGCAGAAACGAGGGAUAGCUCAACAGAAAUCUGUGACCAGAUGCCCAUACCUCCUUAAAUGACUUGGUACCAAUUUGUUUCAAAGUCACUAGCUGAGUUUUGCUCAGUGCGAUCUUAUAGUUUCAGAAUGGAGAUUUAUUUUCACUUCGGUGAGUUUUGAAGGAAGAGGAGGGCAAGCGCCACGGAGAGACAUACACAUAAAGAAGUGGAGAAUCAAAACCGUAUGGAGGUCGCUCUCCCAAAAACUUUGUAAAUCUUUAACCAGUACAUUUAUACUGACAGUUUUUACUUUGGACUCACUUUAGUAUUGAUUUAUGAUUCACUAGCACAGAAAGUAACCCAUACUUAAGAUACAUGACCAACUUUCUAGGUACUGGCUGCUAAACAGAUGAGUCCAUGCAGCUUCCUUAUAAAGAAUUUAAAAACUGAAAGAAAAAAAGAAAAACACCCAAAAAACUCUGAGAAUGUCUGUAUAUAGUAAGCUGCAAUAAAAAAGGGAUCAGUAUUAAGUUAUUGUUUAUUUCAGUGUUAAGGUAAAAGAACCCAGUUAUAAUAAAUGUUUUCAUAUGUUUCUUCAUCAUUCUCACAACAAAUAUAUGAGAAGAAUGAUGCUUAAAAGGUAUGGACCUUUCUGAGGUAAGGCAACUAGUAAUCGUAGAGUUGGUUUUUGAAUGCAGAUUUCUCUCUUUCUUUCUCUGUUCUUUCUCCGCCUUGUUUCCACUAGUGAUUCUACCUUCUUUCUACAGCAGCAAUAUUUAUUUUAACAAAUGUACAUAAUUUAUAGACCAUGCUAAUUUUUUUGUCUUUGAAGUAGUAACUUUUGUGAAUAUUCCAAUAAUAUUACUUUUUACAAAACAAAUUUAGAGCACCCUUCAACAUUUGCCUUCAAAGGCAGGUUAUGAGGCCUGGAAGAAGAGUUUUAUUUCAUGUUUUCUCACAUCGUACGUGUCUAAAAUCGACAAUGAAUUGGUUACUGACAAUAAGCAUGAAGUUUAGUAUUGGAUAACUAAUAGAUAAUUUAAAAACAUUCUCAAUGGAUAAAAGAUAUCACAUCUCCAUUGACUUUAGGGAAAAAAGUAUGUUAAGAGCUCUUAAGACUAUUUAAGAAAAAGACUUGAAGUGUGAUAUCAUAGCAUUCCAGAACUGAAACAGAUCUUUGUCCAUCUUCCUUUUUCAGCCCAAAGAUACUUUCAAGUGGUUUAAAGAUAACAUACAGAUUAUCACAUUAGAAACACAAAGUUAUUCAAGAAAAUAUUCACCAAAAAUAUUUUUUUCUGUCUUUACACAUUCAUUAGACAUUUAAUUCCAAGAAGGAGAUUUAAUAUCUACCACUAGAGCGAAUGAAACAGUGAAGACGGAUUUCUGCUUAAUCCCCCUGAAAUAAAGAAAGCUAAUUUUUAAGGCUUAAUAUAACAAUGAAGAUUAAGAGUUUCACAAAAUCCAGGUGGAUAAACAAUAUCGAUAUUAUAUCCUUAAAAGUAUUCACUUUCCCUAAAUGUGU
rnacentral:lncRNA from 1 species